rfam:Solanum tuberosum cultivar DM 1-3 516 R44 scf00118_12, whole genome shotgun sequence.
AUCCGUCAGGGGACAUCCGAUAUAAUUGGAACGAUACAGAGAAAAUUAGAUGACCCCAGUGCAAAGAUAACACACUAAUUGAGAAAUGGUCCCAACUCAU